UGCGUAGGCGGCCCGGAAAGUUGGGUGUGAAAGCCCUCGGCUCAACCGAGGAAUUGCGCCCAAAACUACCGGGCUCGAGGAAGACAGAGGUAAGCGGAACUUAGGGUGGAGCGGUGAAAUGCGUUGAUAUCCUAAGGAACACCAGGAGCGAAAGCGGCUUACUGGGUCUUUUCUGACGCUGAGGCACGAAAGCUAGGGGAGCGAACGGGAUUAGAUACCCCGGUAGUCCUAGCCGUAAACGAUGAGCACUGGGUUGGAGGGUCCCCCAUAACCUUCUAGCCGUAGCGAAAGUGUUAAGUGCUCCGCCUGGGGAGUAUGGUCGCAAGGCUGAA
rnacentral:rRNA from 1 species